rnacentral:rRNA from 1 species
AAGCUGACUGAAUCCUUCGGGAGGACGUGAGUGGAACGAGCGGCGGACGGGUGAGUAACACGUGGGCAACCUGCCUGUAAGACUGGGAUAACUCCGGGAAACCGGGGCUAAUACCGGAUAGUACUUUGGUUCAUAGGAACCGAAGUGGAAAGGUGGCGCAAGCUACCACUUACAGAUGGGCCCGCGGUGCAUUAGCUAGUUGGUGAGGUAACGGCUCACCAAGGCAACGAUGCAUAGCCGACCUGAGAGGGUGAUCGGCCACACUGGGACUGAGACACGGCCCAGACUCCUACGGGAGGCAGCAGUAGGGAAUCUUCCGCAAUGGACGAAAGUCUGACGGAGCAACGCCGCGUGAACGAAGAAGGUUUUCGGAUCGUAAAGUUCUGUUGUUAGGGAAGAACAAGUACCGUUCGAAUAGGGCGGUACCUUGACGGUACCUAUCGAGGAAGCCCCGGCUAACUACGUGCCAGCAGCCGCGGUAAUACGUAGGGGGCAAGCGUUGUCCGGAAUUAUUGGGCGUAAAGCGCGCGUAGGCGGUUUCUUAAGUCUGAUGUGAAAUCUUGCGGCUCAACCGCAAGCGGUCAUUGGAAACUGGGGAACUUGAGUACAGAAGAGGAGAGCGGAAUUCCACGUGUAGCGGUGAAAUGCGUAGAGAUGUGGAGGAACACCAGUGGCGAAGGCGGCUCUCUGGUCUGUAACUGACGCUGAGGUGCGAAAGCGUGGGGAGCGAACAGGAUUAGAUACCCUGGUAGUCCACGCCGUAA